GGAGGAGAAAGAAAAAGAUACAAAAGACAGAAGAGAGCAUCAGUUUGGAUAACUGUGGACUCUAGAUUUUCGUUCCUGAUAAGGCCUCACUACGUUGCUCAGGUUGGACUCUCUAUGGAGAUCUUCCUGUCUCAGCUUCCUGAGCGGUUUGGACUACAGUGUACAUACCAUCCAUGUGGUGUGGGUUUGAGGAGGAGAAGUCCUCCAUCAAAAAAGGUUAGGAGUCAUCUCGUGGAAGCCGAGACAAGACUGCUGUUUAGACAGGCAAGAAAAAGUGAAGACACAGGACCAGCUACAUCAUUCUCGCAAAAUGGAAGUGCAGUCUUCAGCUCAGAAGUCACCGGCAACGUUUACACAGAGACAACUGAACACAAGACCCUCCUGACGUGCUUUUGAGGCCUUCUAGCCAAAAAAGGCAGCCCUGUCAGCCAAAGGUGCUGAAAGCUUCUUAGGGGGCAAAAGAUGAGACCUUCUUGUCCUCUGCGUCCCCCACUGAGAUGAUUGCCGUUUGACACCAGUGACAAGUGUCCCAUAAUUACAGGCAUCGUGUAUGAAUAAAGACUAUAUCAC
rnacentral:lncRNA from 1 species